UACGUAGGGUGCGAGCGUUAAUCGGAAUUACUGGGCGUAAAGCGUGCGCAGGCGGUUCGCCAAGUCAGGUGUGAAAUCCCCGGGCUUAACCUGGGAAUUGCGCUUGAAACUAGCGGGCUUGAGUGUGGCAGAGGGGGGUGGAAUUCCGCGUGUAGCAGUGAAAUGCGUAGAGAUGCGGAGGAACACCGAUGGCGAAGGCAGCCCCCUGGGCCAAUACUGACGCUCAGGCACGAAAGCGUGGGGAGCAAACAGG
rnacentral:rRNA from 1 species